AAAAUAUUUUAAACUUUUAACAGCAUAAGCAAGAUGUACCUGUAUCCAGUAUUUCAUUAUGGAGUUUUGGGUUAUAUUUCAUAUUUGUCAAUAUAUUGUUUGUAUUCAUAUUCUACUACCAAUAUUAUGCUCAACUGCCUAUUCAUUGAUGUGAUAUUUUGUAAAUAUUGUACAAUUUGAUCUUUAUAUGAUUUUAAAUUACUAUUAAUUUAUAUUAUAUAUAACUUGAUUGGUUGAUCACGAAAAGUCUUUUCAUUGUUAAACCCUGUAAUGUAAAAUUGUUGGUGACAUGCCUUAGAGCUCUUUCUAAAUCCUUUGUGUUGUUUGUGAUCUGAACAGUGCUUUAUUUGUGUUGAUAUCCACGACUGGAAAGGUAAUUGUUGGGUUUUUUUUUUUAAUUUCACUUUAGAGCUUAUGUUAAUGGAUCCUUACCCAAGGAGUCAGAAACUAAUGAACAGGGUGACUGUUUCUUAUACACUAAAAGCUUAUGUUCAAUCAAAUGCUUUUCUGAUGCUUUUCGUUGUAUGAGUUUCUUUCUGUGAACUGAACACAAAACUCAGGAAUUGGAGGAUUCAUAUGUAAGUCCUUUAAACAACAUAUAAUUGAACUUGAGUUUAGCCAGUGUGUGACAGACCUCGAACAAUCUGAUCUAAGGGUUAACUUUCUUCAUAAAUGGAUUCAUAAUGUAUAUGUGACAAACUGUUCCAAACUUGCUGAAAACUCAUUGUGAUUUCUAGGGUUUCUGACUAUGACCAGUUUUGUUUGUUUUGUUUUUCAUCUAUCCAAAACUUCAUUUUCUCACAUAAAAAUUUAGAUAACCACAAUUAUUGACACAGUUGUUAAAUGUCUUUAGUUUUCUGCCAUUUAGUGAGAUAUUGCUGGCUAAGACAAGACAAUAACAGGCAUGUGUGGUGUUAGUGUGCUGCAGCAAUCGAUUUAACUUGUAAUUCCUACCACUUCUGUCUCUAGUAUGACUUGGAAAGCGGCAGUGGUCAUCUUUGUCACAGCUCAGUUGACAGCUGCAUUCCCUUAAAAAGUUGGCCUUGUGAGAUACAAUCCUCAUUUAAUAUUUCAUGCUUUUGUGCCUUUAAGGAAAUAUUUUUGUUAGUUUUUUGUUACAGAACCAUAAUGUGUUCAAAGUGUUUGUAGCUUAUUUGUCAUAAAAGGGUCAUUUGUCUGGGUCACUGUGUUUCCUUUUAUCUAGCUGAAGAAUAUGUAAACAGUAAUGCCGUACUUUUAUAAGGGUUUGUGUAGUAACUAUUUCAAAUAUAUUCAUACUCAGACAUCAAUGAAGUAAACUUGUCAGAUGGCUCUGAGUAUUGUAGACAGUGCCUUUUUGAUGGAAUUCACACUGUUUUCGGGUGUCAACUUGUGCCAUAUUCACAGAAUUUUGUGGAAGGCAGUUUUAACUUUUUGAAGAAUAUCGUCAUCAAAAUUUUAAAAAACAAAUGUAUAAAACUUCAUCUUUUUUCAGUGUUUAGCAUUUCUAGUCAGCAGUAAAUAGUCUGGUUUUGCUUUUGUUUUUGUCUUAUUUCAGGUAUGAUGGCAUACGUACGCGAUGAGCCAUACACGAGACUGUAGACUAUUACAUUAAAUAUAAAUAAAGAACAUGUUCGUUUAUACAAAUUUUCCGAUUUGACCCAGUGGGAGAGACCUUUCAUAAUUCAAUAAGUUUACAUUUCAAUGUCUUUCAUAUUUGACUACAUAUAAAGAGAUUCUUUAAAAUGUAUAACCUGCCACCACUGCAUAAUUUGGUUUCAUUUUGUUAUGUAUUGUGUGGGUUUAGUAUAUCCAAUUUUUGUUACAAUUAAAGGACUAUUUUGUUACAGUUUUUAAUUGAAGAUGGACUGUUAACAUUGUACAGGACCAGUGUCUUAUUAAUAAGAUUAACAUAUUUAGUGAGAGCCACAGGAAAACCUUGACAAAAAUGAAUGUGACUAUACUUUAUGAAGUAUUUCGAAAAAUCAGCCUCUUUAUUUAUCAUAAAAUUAUUUUAAUAUCAUAAUAUUGAUGUUCUUUUUUUUUUGUUUUGUUUUGUUUUUUGUUUUUUUCGAGACAGGGUUUCUCUGUGUAGCCCUGGCUGUCCUGGAACUCAUUCUGUAGACCAGGCUGGCCUUGAACUCAGAAAUCCGCCUGCCUCUGCCUCCCGAGUGCUGGGAUUAAAGGUGUGUGCCACCACACCCGGCUAAUAUUGAUAAUCUUUAUUUGAAAAAAUGUCAUGAACCAUUUGAAUGAUGAGCCACAGAACCUCAGUUGAAUUUAUUUCCACUUUUGGCAUGUUAAAUAUAGAUUUAAUUUUAAGUACUUCAGUUAAUGGGUUUAUAAAGUCAAGCACUAGCAUUGGUCAGUUUUGUAUGAUAGGAUGUAAGUGUGUUCUCACCUGCAGUGUAAAUACAGCACACUGUAGAAUUCUCUUAAGGUGCAUAGUAAAUGUAUAGAUAGUCACAGGCGGUUUUGUAAUGUAUACAUUUCUAAUCUAUUAUUCCUAACCUGUCAUGUUUGCAGAGAGAAAAGAAUUUUUCUAAUGAUCUGUAAAAUUAUGUUAACUUCUACAAGUAGGUAUUCUAAAUAAACUUUUUUAAAAGAGC
rnacentral:lncRNA from 1 species